rnacentral:rRNA from 1 species
AUUGAACGCUGGCGGCAGGCUUAACACAUGCAAGUCGAGCGGAGCGAGGGUGCUUGCACCUUAGCUUAGCGGCGGACGGGUGAGUAAUGCUUAGGAAUCUGCCUAUUAGUGGGGGACAACAUUCCGAAAGGAAUGCUAAUACCGCAUACGCCCUACGGGGGAAAGCAGGGGAUCUGCGGACCUUGCGCUAAUAGAUGAGCCUAAGUCGGAUUAGCUAGUUGGUGGGGUAAAGGCCUACCAAGGCGACGAUCUGUAGCGGGUCUGAGAGGAUGAUCCGCCACACUGGGACUGAGACACGGCCCAGACUCCCACGGGAGGCAGCAGUGGGGAAUAUUGGACAAUGGGCGGAAGCCUGAUCCAGCCAUGCCGCGUGUGUGAAGAAGGCCUUUUGGUUGUAAAGCACUUUAAGCGAGGAGGAGGCUACUAGUAUUAAUACUACUGGAUAGUGGACGUUACUCGCAGAAUAAGCACCGGCUAACUCUGUGCCAGCCGCCGCCGUAAGAC